rnacentral:tRNA from 1 species
GAGGGUUUAGCUCAGUGGUAGAGCACAUGAUUAGCAUGCACAAGGUCCUGGGUCCAAUCCCCAGUGCCUCCA